CCUAGUACUCCCCUUCGUAGACGCAGGCAGUCAGCAGCCGACCAGAAGGCAGCAGACGCAGAGCAAAUCCAACAAGAACACCACUAGUGCUGCAUUCGCAGCGAGCGAGGAAGAGGAAGAGGGUGAGAGAGAGGGAUGGCGUGCCUGCACGAUCACGAGUGUGGGGAUCACAACUGCGCCGCCGAUUGGUCGCUCUACAAUCACAUCGACAUCCCCAAGGUGGUGGCUCUGAACGAAUCUGUGGCCGGGAGCGUCAAAUCGGUCUUCAAGUCGUGGGACCAGCGCCUCGAGACUUCCGGGGGUUUUCUGGAGAGCAAUGAGGGUGACCCUGAGUUACUUGUUUUCAUCCCAUUUACCUCAGAUGUGAAGAUCAAGAGCAUCGCUGUCGUUGGUGGUGCUGAUGGGACAAGCCCUUCAAGAAUGAGAGCAUUUAUCAAUAGAGAAGGUAUUGACUUUUCUGAUGCUCAAAACAUGCAGCCUGUGCAGGAAUGGGAACUGGCAGAGAAUUUGCAGGGAGUUCUUGAGUAUCAAACCAGGUAUUCAAGGUUCCAAGGUGUGGCCAACUUAACUCUGCAUUUUCCUGACAACUUUGGUGGUGAUACGACUAAGAUAUAUUACAUUGGUUUGCGUGGUGAAGCUACUCAGAACAAAAGGGAUGUUGUGGCCACAAUUGUGUAUGAAGUAAUGCCCAAUCCGUCUGAUCACAAAACAAAAUCCGAGACUGGAGGUGGUUUCUCACAUGUUGAGUAGGCAUGUCAGUGACAUGCUUCCUCGGUUGGAGAGAAACCUGACCUCUGAUGAGUUCUGUAUGAAUAAAACCAGUCCAGCUCUUAGAUUCGUAGUUUUGAGCGUAAACCAGUGUAUUUGUCGGUUGUCAAUGGCUCGAUGAUGUAACUUAACUAUGUUGCCUUGUGGUUGCCUGUGGCUCGAUGAGGUAACUUAACUAUGUCGCCCAUGUCAUCAGAGUUGCUAACAAGUUACUAUGAUUCUACCGAUCUCCAAUUGGUGGUACUUUUC
rnacentral:rRNA from 1 species